GGCUUAAUACAUGCAAGUCGAGGGGCAGCGGGGGUAGCAAUACCUGCCGGCGACCGGCAAACGGGUGCGGAACACGUACGCAACUUUCCCAAAACUGGUGAAUAGCCUUCCGAAAGGGAGAUUAAUACACCGUAAGAUGUAGGAGUGGCAUCACUCUUAUAUUAUAGCUCCGGCGGUUUUGGAUGGGCGUGCGGCUGAUUAGGUGGUUGGCGGGGUAACGGCCCACCAAGCCUGCGAUCAGUAACUGGUGUGAGAGCACGACCAGUCACACGGGCACUGAGACACGGGCCCGACUCCUACGGGAGGCAGCAGUAAGGAAUAUUGGUCAAUGGACGCAAGUCUGAACCAGCCAUGCCGCGUGCAGGAUGACGGCCCUCUGGGUUGUAAACUGCUUUUAUAGGGGACGAAAAAAGGGCUUUCUAGCUCGUCUGACGGUACCCUAGGAAUAAGCACCGGCUAACUCCGUGCCAGCAGCCGCGGUAAUACGGAGGGUGCAAGCGUUAUCCGGAUUUACUGGGUUUAAAGGGUGCGUAGGUGGGUCGGUAAGUCAGCGGUGAAAUCUUCGAGCUUAACUCGGAAACUGCCAUUGAUACUAUCGAUCUUGAAUCAUCUAGAGGUAAGCGGAAUAUGUCAUGUAGCGGUGAAAUGCUUAGAUAUGACAUAGAACACCAAUUGCGAAGGCAGCUUACUAUGGAUGUAUUGACACUGAGGCACGAAAGCGUGGGGAUCAAACAGGAUUAGAUACCCUGGUAGUCCACGCCCUAAACGAUGGAUACUCGACAUCAGCGAUACACUGUUGGUGUCUGAGCGGAAGCAUUAAGUAUCCCACCUGGGAAGUAC
rnacentral:rRNA from 1 species